UUUGGAAAGUAAGUGUGCAAAAAUAGUAUCUUGUGGGGCUCGACAUAGUGCCAUUCUGACAGGUAUAACUUGAAAAUAUUAGAAUUUUUCCAUUACGGAACUCACAUCAGAUAUUUUUUGAGUUUACUUCUACAGUUUUCUUUGACUAUGAAAUAUGCCCAUCCAAUUAGAAUUUGGAAAACUUUAGUGCAGUAUAGACAUUCAUCCAAACAGGCUGUCCUUAAAGUUGUGGCUCUAGAUUACUUCUUAUAGUAGAGACACAUUAGCAAGAUGAAAAUUUAUACCUUAAAAUGUCCCUUUAAGCCACUUGAAUUUGUACGUGCUCAAGUUCUUAUUUUUGUUGUGCUCUUUGUGUGUCAAAGUAGAGGACGGCCAAGUAUACAGUUGGGGAUGGAACAAGUACGGUCAGGUAGAUCCUCAAAUGCUUCUUACUAAAAUUAAUUCAUAAUGGCGCCAACGUUCUUGUGUCAAAGAAACUUAUUUUUAUCAUUGUUUUGCAAUGCAGCUUGGCGUGGGUGACUCAAUCGACCGUAACAUUCCUUCUCGUGUUCCCAUUGAAGGUUGUCGGCCAAAAAAUGUUGCUUGUGGUUGGUGGCACACGCUACUGCUGGCGGAAACACCACUUUGAGUCCUUACAUUCAUCAUAGAUAACAAAGUGGUGACAGUUUUGCUAGGAUAGCGACUUCUUCCCCCAGUUUAUUUUUAUUUGACGCUUGUACUCUCGCGUAUAAUGUAUAUACUGCAUGAAAGCAUCUGUCAAAUUUUCUUUUCUUUCUCUAGGAGAUAGCAAACUGGUACUUCAUAGCAAAAAAACGACAAUAGUCCUUGUAAUGAUACAAUAGUCUUUUAGAUUGCAACUUUUUGUUUCUUCUAAAGGAAAUUCCACUGGCAGCCUCUGACUAACUACACUAGAAAGGAAGAUGGUGCGUUAAAUCUUGCUUGAAAUAGGACUUCUUUUGCGUUGCAGAAGCUGCAUCAGAGGCCAGAAGAUAUCGAGCCGGUGAAAUCCCUUGGAAGCCUCAACAAUAAACCGAGCCCAUGUGUUGUUUGAUCGGCUUUCCAGUACACCCUUCAAAAUGGUCAACUCCAAGCUACGAAUCACUUGGGCAAUCUCUAAGAAAAGACAAUGCUCAUUACAAAGUAUCUCAAUGAGCAUGUGUCCAGGACAUGCAAGAUCUUCCACUAGUAUUGGGCACGCCAGGAACUCAUUUCCAAAUUCACAAGCCCAGCUUGCUCCACUUCGGCGAUUUUCCUUGGUUUCGUAAGACCUCCAAUUCUUGUUACCAUCAAGCUCCUGAUGCACACAUUGCCUCAAUUUCUCAGCCUGAUCGGUAACACUUCGUAAAUACAGCAUGUGCCUUAUGGUUCGAUCCAAGAGGCCAUCAAU
rnacentral:misc_RNA from 1 species